GUGGCGGCAGCUACAAUGCAGUCGAACGGUAGCACAGAGAGCUUGCUCUCGGGUGACGAGUGGCGGACGGGUGAGUAAUGUCUGGGAAACUGCCUGAUGGAGGGGGAUAACUACUGGAAACGGUAGCUAAUACCGCAUAACGUCGCAAGACCAAAGAGGGGGACCUUCGGGCCUCUUGCCAUCAGAUGUGCCCAGAUGGGAUUAGCUAGUAGGUGGGGUAACGGCUCACCUAGGCGACGAUCCCUAGCUGGUCUGAGAGGAUGACCAGCCACACUGGAACUGAGACACGGUCCAGACUCCUACGGGAGGCAGCAGUGGGGAAUAUUGCACAAUGGGCGCAAGCCUGAUGCAGCCAUGCCGCGUGUAUGAAGAAGGCCUUCGGGUUGUAAAGUACUUUCAGCGGGGAGGAAGGUGUUGUGGUUAAUAACCACAGCAAUUGACGUUACCCGCAGAAGAAGCACCGGCUAACUCCGUGCCAGCAGCCGCGGUAAUACGGAGGGUGCAAGCGUUAAUCGGAAUUACUGGGCGUAAAGCGCACGCAGGCGGUCUGUCAAGUCGGAUGUGAAAUCCCCGGGCUCAACCUGGGAACUGCAUUCGAAACUGGCAGGCUGGAGUCUUGUAGAGGGGGGUAGAAUUCCAGGUGUAGCGGUGAAAUGCGUAGAGAUCUGGAGGAAUACCGGUGGCGAAGGCGGCCCCCUGGACAAAGACUGACGCUCAGGUGCGAAAGCGUGGGGAGCAAACAGGAUUA
rnacentral:rRNA from 1 species